rnacentral:lncRNA from 1 species
AUAACUUUCUCUUUACUUCUUCUUCAUCUUCUCCUUAUUUUUCUUCAAUUCCUACUUGCCAAACAACUCAAUUUCACUCCAUUAAACUUGAUUUAAAUAAUUAAUCUUAGAGAAUUAAGCUUGAGAAGUGAUUUGUGAUGAUUAUUUUCAAAAAAUUUGAAGAUUCGCUAUUUAGGCCAAAGGUUGGGGAAACCUCUACCAUGGAACAAAGGCAAAGUUAGAGCUUAGAAAGCUUUAAUUUAAGCUUGCUAAAGCUUAUUUUUAAGGUUAGUGUUCAUAAACACACUUACCUUACUUGAAUUUUUGAUUUUGUGCAUUUAUGCUAUCAUACAUGUAAUAUAUUUUGGGAUUUUGUAUGAAAUGAUUAUCUAUUGGAAAAGUAUUACUCGCUAAACUUGUGAAUACUCAAUUACUUUCAAUUCAUAAUCUAAUUUUAUGAUUUAUAUGUUAAGUUAAGACAGUGUCUUCGACACCGAAUGUGGCAUCCGCAGUCGGGUCUCACAGGACUGAGCGCAGGGUGUUACAAUAAUGAACCAAUCCUUUGGUAAGUAUAUUUCUAGAAAAGCUCCAAUUUUGGUAUGAUUUUGGAGAGAGAAAAGAUAUAGAAUUGAGAUUAGUUAAAAAAAAAAAAAGAUGCAGAUGAACAAUUGGGAUCUUCCAGGAGUUCAACAACCCUAAACCCAUUUAAUAAAAGUACAAGCUUUCUCUUCUUAUUCUUCGUCUUAACAAAUUAAUAAAAAAAAAAAUUAACUAAAAAAAAUAUUGCAAAUAAAAAUUGACUUAGCUCCAACAAAAAUGAUAAAAUUGAAUCUUAUUUAGAGCAUAUUUAUGCGCUUUCACUCUAUCUCCGAUCUCGAUAACUACUACCAACUCCUCAAUUCUACAUGAUUCCAUUCUCUCUGAGUUUCAAAGCCACAAACCCUUUACACAAAUUGAUGGCUUCACUAUUUUCAUCGAUAUAUGAAUGGUAGAUAAGGGUUUCGAUUGAGGUAGCGCCAGAGCUAGGACCUUCUAGUUAAGAGGAAACUCAUCUAUAAUAUAUUUUAAGGAGAUUCACAGAUUAUAAAUAUAACAAUUUAAAGGAUUCACUUUAUAAAUAUAUUAUUAGUUGCUUAUAAAAAUUUUUCAAAUCAGGGCUGCUUGUGCACCCCUCAAUUGUAUAUGUCUCUGCCACUGGAUUGAGGGUAUAGAUCUAGGGAAAUCAAAGGAAUCAAAAUCAGUUAGAGAUUCUAGUCCUUAAGAGUAAGAUUGAGAUUGAAUUUGUAGCGAAUGAAAAAGAUGAAGGCAGAUGAAAUCAACGCCUUACGAUUAAGGAGCAACGCGGUUUAGAUAGAUAUUGGAAGCAAGGAAGAGAAUUUUAUGGGAAGUUGUAGGAGGAUAUCAAUUUAUUACAUUAUGAUGGAUUUUGGAUAUUUUUCUUUCUGGGGUGUUUGGAUGAGAGAAAAAUGGAAAGGAAAGGAUUAAAUGAAAAUAAAUGGAUUAGGUUUUUUCUUGGAGUGGAGGAAUUGACAGGUAGUGGGAUGAAUUUGAAGAUAUUUUUAGAUAAUAACAUCUAUAAAUAUUAAAUCAUAACAGAAAGGAGAUUAUGAGUCCAUCAAAUAGUUAGAUUAUAUACAAUAUUACUUGGUUAGACGUUAUUAUGAACAAUCCAACUUAUGUUACCAUCAAGAAAAAGAAGAAGAGAUAAAAAAAAAAAAGAGAGAGAAUUUUCUUUAUUGUGUUAAUUUAAUUGAAGUAAACAAGUCAAAUUGGAGGAGAGAGAAUUUUUUUAAUUAGUGAAAAUUUGAGUCAGCUAAAAAAAUCCACGUGACUACAUGGCAUUCUAGUGAUCAAAAGUCAAUUAAAAUGGCAAAAAUGUCUUUUAAGAUCCUGUUUGGCAACAACUUUUCACAUAAUGUUUUACUUUUUGACUAAGGUCACUUCUAUCAUUUAUAUUGAUCGGCGAUAUAAUGUUUAUAAUAAUAUUUAGUAUUUGAGGAAGCAAAUUAUGAAACGCUACUCUUUUAACAUUUCAUCAAAUGCUAUUUAAACAAUCAAUUGCUACUAAGACAACUAAUAAAGCUACUAAGACAGUUAACAGCUACUAAAACAACUAAUUUUGUUGAACAAGCCCUAAAUUAAAAUUGGAGCAUUUUUAAGUUACAAAUUGAAGUAUGUGCAUAAUUAAGUGCGUACCCUCUAAAUUCAGAGACCGCCAGUGAGAUUAACACAAAACAAUUAUAAUUAUAAUUUUACCUCCACUUACUAUACUUUUAAACUCAUUCAUAAGCAUAGUACCUCAUUUUCCUUCAAAUAUCCAAAUAUCAAGAGAUAUAUGGAAAACCCUUUCAUAUCUUCUCUCUUUAUUUUUCUUCAAUAUUUUAUUUUCCCCUUAAAUUGCUACCCAAAUGCACUCUUAUUGUUAUUUUAGAGUUUAUUUUAUUUGAAAUUAUUUGUAGUAUUACUUAGUUUUUUCUAAUUUUAUCGAUUCGGGACCUCAAGGAUUGUAUCUUACACCUAAAAUCAAAUUUGAUGUACAAACCGUAUAUCCUAAAUUAGAAAUUUCUUCUUGGAUGAUAUAAAGGCAUUGUGAAUGCAUUACAAAGAAAUGAUCAAGGUAUUAUGAAUGCAGUGGCACCAGUUAAAAUCUCAAAAUAGAGACCAUAACAAAGGAGAGAUGACGGUUGAGAUUCUUUGAUAGUUAAAGUUUUUUCAUUUUGUGAAAAACAAACUAUUAUCAUUCCAAUAAUAGAAGACAUUUUUGUAAUUCUAGAAAAAUUAUUAUGCAAGGCUCCAAAAGUUACACAUAUAUAUUAUUAUCAAGUUGAAUUAUUUUAUUCAGUAUUAGAUUUACAACUUCAAGAACUCAAUAGUUGUAUUAUAGAAAGUAAUACAUAGUUGCUU